GUGCUUGCAUCAUGAUUUACAUUUGAGUGAGUGGCGAACUGGUGAGUAACACGUGGGAAACCUGCCCAGAAGCGGGGGAUAACACCUGGAAACAGAUGCUAAUACCGCAUAACAACUUGGACCGCAUGGUCCGAGUUUGAAAGAUGGCUUCGGCUAUCACUUUUGGAUGGUCCCGCGGCGUAUUAGCUAGAUGGUGGGUAACGGCUCACCAUGGCAAUGAUACGUAGCCGACCUGAGAGGGUAAUCGGCCACAUUGGGACUGAGACACGGCCCAAACUCCUACGGGAGGCAGCAGUAGGGAAUCUUCCACAAUGGACGAAAGUCUGAUGGAGCAACGCCGCGUGAGUGAAGAAGGGUUUCGGCUCGUAAAACUCUGUUGUUAAAGAAGAACAUAUCUGAGAGUAACUGUUCAGGUAUUGACGGUAUUUAACCAGAAAGCCACGGCUAACUACGUGCCAGCAGCCGCGGUAAUACGUAGGUGGCAAGCGUUGUCCGGAUUUAUUGGGCGUAAAGCGAGCGCAGGCGGUUUUUUAAGUCUGAUG
rnacentral:rRNA from 1 species